rnacentral:rRNA from 1 species
GGACGCCAGUCUGCAUGGAGCCGACCUUGAAAUACCACCCUUUAAUGUUUGAUGUUCUAACGUGGACCCGUAAUCCGGGUUGCGGACAGUGUCUGGUGGGUAGUUUGACUGGGGCGGUCUCCUCCUAAAGAGUAACGGAGGAGCACGAAGGUUGGCUAAUCCUGGUCGGACAUCAGGAGGUUAGUGCAAUGGCAUAAGCCAGCUUGACUGCGAGCGUGACGGCGCGAGCAGGUGCGAAAGCAGGUCAUAGUGAUCCGGUGGUUCUGAAUGGAAGGGCCAUCGCUCAACGGAUAAAAGGUACUCCGGGGAUAACAGGCUGAUACCGCCCAAGAGUUCAUAUCGACGGCGGUGUUUGGCACCUCGAUGUCGGCUCAUCACAUCCUGGGGCUGAAGUAGGUCCCAAGGGUAUGGCUGUUCGCCAUUUAAAGUGGUACGCGAGCUGGGUUUAGAACGUCGUGAGACAGUUCGGUCCCUAUCUGCCGUGGGCGCUGGAGAACUGAGGGGGGCUGCUCCUAGUACGAGAGGACCGGAGUGGACGCAUCACUGGUGUUCGGGUUGUCAUGCCAAUGGCACUGCCCGGUAGCUAAAUGCGGAAGAGAUAAGUGCUGAAAGCAUCUAAGCACGAAACUUGCC